ACAGCAGUAGCCGCGGUAAUACGAAGGGGGCCAGCGUUGUUCGGAAUUAUUGGGCGUAAAGGGCGCGUAGGCGGUUUGACAAGUUUGGUGUGAAAUCUAUGGGCUCAACCCAUAGCCUGCAUCGAAAACUGUCGGGCUUGAGUAUGGGAGAGGUGAGUGGAAUUUCCGGUGUAGCGGUGAAAUGCGUAGAUAUCGGAAGGAACACCUGUGGCGAAAGCGGCUCACUGGACCAUUACUGACGCUGAGGCGCGAAAGCUAGGGGAGCGAACAGGAUUAGAUACCCCAGUAGUCCCUGUCUCUUAUAC
rnacentral:rRNA from 1 species